GAGGAACCCGGGCUCAUGGUUGAGUCCUUUGUGUCAGACAGGAAGCCAUGGGCACAUAUCCUAAAACAAGUCGGUUAGAACGGCUCUGGUGCGGCACUUGCAUUCAUUAGGUCUCACUCACCUAAGGCCUGCUGCUUUGUGAAAAACUAGAUCUAACUGGAGAAGAAUGGAGGUUCAGCAGCUUUGGGAGUGCGAAAAGCAGCAGUUACAUUAUGGCACACAGAACAUCCAAAAGCAUGCGUGUUACAGCUAACAAGCAAACGGGCAAGAUGAGCAAUAAAUAUCAGUGCUGCUUCGCUGCAGUGACUCUUGACCUAAUUCUCAGCCCGGGACUGGGUGCUGAAAACAGAAAAACAGAGGCAACGCAAGUGAGGGUAAUUUGGUGCGACUGAACCCUCC